rnacentral:rRNA from 1 species
UACAGGGGGGGCAAGCGUUGUUCGGAAUUACUGGGCGUAAAGGGCGUGCAGGCGGUCUGUUAAGUGCAGGGUGAAAGCUCCCGGCUCAACUGGGAGAGGUCCUUGCAUACUGGCGGACUUGAGGGGGGUAGAGGAAAGUGGAAUUCCCGGUGUAGUGGUGAUAUGCGUAGAUAUUGGGAAGAACACCAGCGGCGAAAGCGCGCUACUGGGCCAUUACUGACACUCAUGGACGAAAGCUAGGGGAGCGAAAGGG